GCGGCGUGCCUAAUACAUGCAAGUCGAGCGCAGGAAGCUCACGGAACUCUUCGGAGGGAAGUGAAGGGAAUGGGCGGCGGACGGGUGAGUAACACGUAAGGAACCUGCCCCAAGGAUUGGGAUAACUCCGAGAAAUCGGAGCUAAUACCGAAUAGUUCUUCAGACCGCAUGGUCUGAUGAUGAAAGGCGCUCCGGCGUCACCUUGGGAUGGCCUUGCGGUGCAUUAGCUAGUUGGUGGGGUAAUGGCCCACCAAGGCGACGAUGCAUAGCCGACCUGAGAGGGUGAUCGGCCACACUGGGACUGAGACACGGCCCAGACUCCUACGGGAGGCAGCAGUAGGGAAUCUUCCACAAUGGACGAAAGUCUGAUGGAGCAACGCCGCGUGAGUGAUGAAGGUUUUCGGAUCGUAAAACUCUGUUGUAAGGGAAGAACAGGUAUGAGAGGUAAUGCUCAUGCUGUGACGGUACCUUGCGAGAAAGCCACGGCUAACUACGUG
rnacentral:rRNA from 1 species